CUCUAUUGCAGUUCGUGAAACUACUUACCAUGCAUGUCAACUUGUCAUCCAGAAACUCUCAGGAGGUAGAGAUCAUUUAACACAGGUGGAGCAGUGGCUUGUGGAGUGGCAAAGUUUGGGACUCACUCACUUAACUGAAGAUACCCCAGCCUAGAAGAAGGACCAGUAGAAAAAGCAAUGCCUCAAAGAUAAGGUAACCGAGUGUUGGAGAACAGCUUAUCCAGUGUCACACAGUGGUGAUACCUGCAUAAGUAAUGUCUACCCUCCGGGUACAGGGAAUUUUGAAUAAAUCCUGUCAUGAGACAAGCGGAAUGUCCAUAAAGCAGACCUGACAUCAUCAAAGAUAGUCUUCCUCCUGAUUUCAAGAUAGUGGUCACAGUCCUAGGUGUCACAUGGAAACACAACCACGUCCAAUAGCUGAAGAGGACUGUCUCUUGACAAAAGGCCUCACUCAGCAGAGGAUCUCCAUCUGAAGAGCUUCUCUCCUGAAGUACGCUGGCCUCUCAAGAUGCUGACAGCAGCUUCCUGACUUAGCUGAUUCAGCCCUGGUCGGUCUGCUCUUGGAGGAUGCUUCAUCAUGUAAGCUUCCUGGUGAUAACCGGCCCUAGCCCGCCAUGCCUGUCUAUUCCUGUACCCUUUCUUAUGGAAUUUCUGCCCAUCCAAAACUGAGCAGUUGUGGAAGUAAGUCUAUGCUAUAAAACCUGGAAGCCCCCAGAUCUCUCCUCCAAAUUCAGUGACCCCUGCUUCUAACAGA